UGAGGAAUAUUGGUCAAUGGACGAGAGUCUGAACCAGCCAAGUAGCGUGAAGGAUGACUGCUCUAUGGGUUGUAAACUUCUUUUAUAUGGGAAUAAAAUGUUCCACGUGUGGGAUUUUGUAUGUACUAUAUGAAUAGGGAUCGGCUAACUCCGUG
rnacentral:rRNA from 1 species